CUCAGUUGGAAAGAGUCAAGAUUUUAUCUUUUCAACAAAUAGAAGUAAUGAUAUUUGCUUCCAUAGCAAUAAUUUUAAUAUUUUCAAAGCUAACCACACUCACAACUUCUUGGUUUACAUGUAUUUGCUACUCUGAAAUCAAGAAGAAACAAAUGCCAGAGCCAGUCUCACAGAUGUCUGUUAUUAUCUUUACCUCUUUUCUUUUCCUUAGAACCUUCCGCUGGAAGAAAAUCAAUUUAGCGUGAUUUACAUGAAACUAUCUCAAGUAAAAUCAUCGUUUUAGAUCCACUCAUUCACUCAACAUAAAGGCUUUUAAGUGAUUUAGGAAAAGUUAAGCAUUAGGAAGAAGGAAAAAGAAAAAGAAGAAAGAGCUGAAGUAGGAGUAUCUUUUCAACUGAUACAAUGCUUCAAGGUAUAUUUGUUUUCCAUUCUUUCACAAAGGUAAGUACGGGUAGUUAUUGUUUAACCCUAUCAAAAGCUAAUAAUUGUGUCACUUUAGCCUUGGGGAAAUGAAAAACAGGAAACAUUUUAUCGAGGUGCACAGAUUCAUAAGUAAUAUUUUAAAAGGUUAUUUGAAGGGUGUUAACAGAAUUGUUUUGAACAGAACUGUGGUAAGGUAAAAGAAAAAUCUACUUUUUUGAAAAAGUAUUAAAAACCCUAGAAAUUGGCCAUUGAUACCCUAUUUCUUUAUAUACAUUGCUAAACCUGAAUGUUAUUUUUUGAACAAAACCAUUAUAGAAAUAAACCUUAAGCAAUGGAAAUUAUUUUUCUAAUUAAUAAUAGCAAUAUUACUGUAUUAUAUUACAGAAUAUGUUUCUUCCAAAUGGUCUAACAUAUAAAGAUUAAAAACAGGAACAACCAGGGGCUGGCCCUGUGGCCGAGUGGUUUAGUUCACGCACUCUGCUCCUGCGGGCCAGGGUUUUGCCAGUUCGGAUCCUGGGUGUGGACAUGUCACCACUCACCAAGCCACACUGAGGCAGCGUCCCACAUGCCAUAGCUAGAAGGACCCACAACUAAAAAUAUACAACUAUGUACCAGGGGGCUUUGGGGAGAAAAAGGAAGAAUAAAAUCUUUAAAAAAAAAAAAAAAAGAAUAACCUCACCACUUCGUUUGAAAAGGGAGGAAAGGCCUUGCCUACCUCAAAAUCUCUCCUUCACUCUUUUCCCAACUUUUUCUUCUUAGGAAAGUCCACUUUUAUUUGUAUAUCAUGCUGGAAUUUCCUCCCUUAACGUGAAAAUACCUCUAAGUUAUUUGCAGUGACACUGUAAUGGCCUGGUGACUUUCCAACUGUCUCAGUGGACAGCAGAAUCUUGUUCAAAGGACAGACUUUUGACAUGGGGUGCAUACAAGUGCCGGGGGUGGGGUGUGUGCAAAAGUAUGAUUGAAAUGGGAACAGAAUGCUGAGAAGGAGGUGGGAAAUGUUUCUUUCUGCUUUGUCCUGUGUAUAGGAGACAAGUGACUCUCUCAAAGUAACAUAAAUCUCCAUAUGCCUCCUGACAUUCCAUUCCUGUUCUGUUCCAACAUCUUCAAAAUUCAAAAUUCAAAAUCCUUUCAUCAAAUAAGUUAACAUUAACAACGAUCACAUCCAUACCAUCUCUAACAAUAUUUUCUAUAUACCCUUCCCAAAAGCUCUCUUUCUAUCUCCCUCAAUCUCUAUCCCUCAAUUUCUCUCUCUCCCUUUCCUUCCUUCUUCCUCCCCCUCCCCAUUAUGUGUGUGUGUGCUCACACAAAGUGUAUGCUCACUCUUAUCUGACUGGUAACUGUGCAUCUACUCUGUGCCAAGCACUGGUAAGUAAAUUACAUAUGUUAUCUCAUUUAAUCCUUAAACCAACCCUAGAAGGUGAAUACUUUUAUUUCCAUGUUACAAAUGAGGAAAAUGAGCCACAGAGAUGUUAAGUACAUUUCCUAGUCACACAUUAAUCAGAGAGGCUAAAACCAGAUCUGACUGACACCACAAUCCGCUUUGAACCAUCAAACUCUAUGGCCUCUCCACACCCUCUGCCAUGUCCAACAAAUGAUUGUACUUGAAAAGUCCCUGACUUUUGUGUAUUAAAUAACUACCAACAUAAAAUAGAAUGUCUGGCGUAUCUACUGCUUAUAAAGCUCAAAAUGGAUUUCUUUAAUAUUUUUUUGGCUUUUUAUAAAACACUAUGAAAUACUUUUAAGGACAAAAGAAGCAAACAUUUUCUUGUGAUCUUAUAUAAUGAUGUGCAAUUUAGACCUAAUCCUUUUAGCCCAGAGAUGGAAGACUGACACUCUAAACAAAACUCAUUGUGUUCUUUUGUGCUGUCAUAACAAGAUAUUUAAAGAUGAAGUUCUGGCUGGCAGAUGGACUUCUUGGCAUCACUAUACAUGCAUCACAGAAAUUGUUUUGUUUCAGAGGAUUCAAACAAGAUGCAUGACAUUUCUCACAGGAUAUUUCCACUUAUAAUUUUGGUAACUUGUUAGGUGGGAGUGUUAAGGGACACUAACAAAGGUUUUUAAGGCUUGUGUCUUAUUUAUAACUUUCUACGGUGUGUAAAAAAGUGCAUUACUGAAACUCAUCCUGGCUCCAAGUCUAGGUAUUUGGUUUUAGUGUAUAAUACUCCUAUUGCUCCUCUCAUUCACAUGUGGAAUUUCUGUGUAUCCUGUGGCACAAGAAAAUGAAAACACUCUACUAUAUACCCUAAGUAACAUGGAACAGAGAAGGACAUUCAGCUGGAUAUCUGUGAGGCUCCCUAGAAUACAGCACUUAGAGAGCAUCCAUAGUUCUUCCAGAUUCCUUGCCAUAUGCUACUUGAGGCUGCUACAAGGUUGUCUUAACUUCACAUAUUCUUGGGGUAUGGGAAUCUGACUGUUAUUCAAAAAUGCAAAUAAAAGCUCUAGUAGUAUAGGAAUCUCCCUUGUGCCUAGAAUAAUCACAAAAUGAAAAGGGCCAAGAGAAGAACACAAGGGUUAGCCCUUUGCUUUUAGACAAAUGAGUGCUUGCAUCACCCAAGGCAGCCAAUAGUGGUGUCUCUUCUCUUCUUGAAGAUCUUGGGGGUAGAGACCUCACAUGGUGACUCACUAGUUUUAGCAUCACCUAUGGAAUUUCUUUUGUAUUUCUACCAAAAUUCAUUAUGUCAACAAAUGUUUAUGGAGCAUCCCCUUUGUGUCUGACAUUAUCAUAAGGUCUGGUGAUAUAAGAGAAAGCAAGGCCCCUUGUGGUGGGUUGUAAAAAAUGGCUACAAAAUUCUUAGAUGCUCCUCACAUUGAGAGUGGGUGAGUUUGUAACUACUUUGACUAAUAGAAUACAAGAGAAAUGAUGCUAUGUGAUUUUUGAGACCAGGUCAUAAAAGUGAUGCAGCUUUCACCUUGCUCAUGAGAACACUCAUAUUUGGGGUUCUGAGUUGCCACAUAAGAAGUCCAACUCUCUGAAGCUGCCAAGUUGUGAGGAAGCUAACUAAACCUUAUGUAGGGGUCACCUGCAUAUGCUCUGGUUGACAGUCAAGCUGAGCUCCCAGUUGACAGCUCCUUCAACUGCCAGCCAUGAGAGUGAGCCUUCUUGGACAUCCAGGCCAAGUAAGCCUUCAGAUGACUGUGGUCCUGGCCAACAUAUGAUGACAAUGACGUGAGAGACUCCAGGUAGGAUCUGCCCAGUUGAGCCCUUCUCAAAGUUACUGUCAGGUAAAAUCUGUGAGCAAAACAAAAUGAAGGUUGUUUUAUACCAGUAGGUUUGGGUGGAUUUGCUAUGUAGCAAGAGUAACAGAUUUUGUUACCUGGGAGUAGGGGGUUACCAGGACCAGUGAGCCUCAAAGUGGCUGUCAGUGAAGGCUUGAAGGAGAGUGACUGAAAUGUUCUUGGGGACUAAAAGAUAGAAGACCUUGCAUAUAUAGUGGUGGAAAGUUUGGGAAAACCGUCAUCUGCAGAAGUUAGAAAUUAACCUGGUGAACUAAUUGAUCUGGCUAAGGAUAUUUCUAGGCUAAAUGUUGAAAGUGACAACUAAUUUCUUUUAGCUGCAGCUCAUAAAAUGAAGAUAAAGAGACAUGAGCUACAGAAGAAAUUAUUCCGUUUUCAAGAAACAUGUUGAACAAAUCAAAAUGACCCUUGAUUUGCUAGGUUCAAAAAUAAAAUUAUUUCUCAUCCCUAGUUUCUCCCAGAAGAUGACUCUCAAAAGUAAGAAGAGCCUCAGGGCAAAGCUCAAAGCCAGGGCUCUGUCAGGAAACAUAGUCUCAGAGUAAAUAUGAAGCAAAAUGUGUGACUGUAAAACCCCUUCUUAAGAUAUUGAAAGAUUUAAGGUGAUUUCUCAUAGAUCCUUUCAAAAAGCCUUCUACAGAUUUUCAGGAUGUGCCUCACAGGCCCUCUAUUUUCAAUUGAACAAUAGCCCUUCCAAGAAUCUUAAAAAAAAUAGGUCCACAACAGCAUCAUAGGGAACCCAAGGGUAGAUGUUGACUCUGAGGUCAACUUUCCAGUUUUUGCAUAGAGACACACUGUUUGAGAUUGAAUAUUUUAAGCAAAAAUCAAGGUAUCAUAUCAUUAUGUAAGCCAAAACCAUCCCAAAUUGCAGGUGAAGGUAUUUUUGUAAGAGGUUUCCCUUGAUAGACUCUAAAAUAUGCCAUUCCCUUUGGAAUGGGAAGUGCGUACAUGACCAUUGCAUUUUUGCCUGAUCAAAGGCUUCUACAAUUCCAUCUGUUGAGAUAGAGUUUCUCAGAUGCGUUGGAACCCCCAGUAGAGGCUGCUAACCUGUUAAUCAUAUGCUAGGUAUAUUUUCAAACAGUCCAAUUUCAGCAAACAGACAAAAGGAGUUUGAGUUUGAAGAGAGCAUACUGUGUUGCGGUAGAGGCAGGCUUCAGAGGCAGAGAUGCGAAGGAGAUUAAAAGAACGUUUAUGAGCUUGGCUUUAGGAGGUACACAUGAUCUCAGUCCUGCCAAAGCUUCACCUGUGUGACGAAAUACUUGACAGCAUUGAAAGUGUACUCCAUAAUGUGGUGAGUUGCUGGGACUCGCACAGCCACUUCCCCACCAUGCACCAACAGGAUGGAGAAGAGUUCUCUGAAAAUGUGUUAAUACUAGAGAGUCUUUUGCAAUGAGCCAUAUGACAAGGUGCUAUUGAACAGUUUGGAAAAUCGGAUUCAGUUAAAGCAUGUUAUUACAAGAGCAACAUACAGUAAGGCAUUAUUAGAAAAGCUUUAGAAUUCAUGCGAGAUCUAAAUUCUCCUCGUUAGCACAGCUUUAUUCAACAAGGGAAGAAAGAGGGGUGACUAUGAUCUCUCUAGGGAACCCAACCAAAUGGCAGAGUUGAACUGGAGGCCUUAGUUGAGACUCGGAGAGUUGCAGUUGAUGAUGCUGGUUUAAUAGCCUUCCUAGUAAAUCAACUUCCUUGCAAGUAAGGUCCCAGGGAGUGAUUUCCAACAUCCAGCUCUCGUCUGAAACCCAGAAAGAUUUGGAGCCCUAGUGAGAGACUGUGUCCGUUAAUUAAUUUUAGUGUGUGAGGUCUAAUCUCAGAGAGAACAGCUGGGACCAUUCAAAUACAAACCACCUUUAACUUAGGAGCUAUUCAUUUAUCUGGUGCAUGUUCAGUGCAUAGGGGUUCCAGGUGAGAGGAAAGCAUCUCCCUCCCUUUUAAAAUUUGGUUAUAGAAAAGAUCGAUAAUUUUUAGCAAACAACACUUGCUAUGGGAGACUUUUCUUAGCUAUCUAGAAAUUAAGAUCAGAAAACAAGGAGGAACCAAGGAGACCAGUCAUCCCUGUAAGCAAAAUUGCCCAAUAUUCUGGCUCCUUCUGUUAGGAGGCAGAGAUGAUACAUGUAGGAGCUGAAAAGAACAGAAGCUGACGCUCCUUCCCUGUAUGUAGGAGUCAUUAACCCAGGAGUAAGCUUUGAUUCUGAGAUUGGAUAAGAUGAUAGAAGACGCUGGUGAGAAUUUUAUUUUUUUCAGGCCCAUAUUCUAUAAUGUUGUGAUCUUCAAGCUAGGGACAGCUGUAUAGCCCUCAAAAGCCACAUGCCACAGAGAUGUCUGCUGAUGCAGGGAGACCCUGCCUGAUUAGGCUGGGGCAGUGGCGUUAUUGGCGUGGCUGACUAGCACUGUGUAGGUGAGUGUGAGAAACUUUCCCAGUAUCCAAGUGACAGGGCAGAGCCAGAAAUAAAUACUUCAGGUGCCAAUUCAAAUCCUCAAAGAGAAAGAAGGGUUGUUUGGGCUCAGAGAAGGAGUUUGAGGCUUGGGUGCUAAAAGUAAAUUCAGUCUUGUCUUUUCAGCCAUACCUCAAGAAGAGGAUUUUUAUGGAAGGUGAGCAAGAGGCUGCGUUUUUCCCCUUCAGGGAUGCUGUAGUUGAUACUUUCGUGCACCACCCAGGUCCCAUUUUAGAAUCAAGGUAGUCACUCUCCUUGUUGACUGGACUUUUGGAUGCUGAUGGCUCACAGCUGUGUCCUUCUUCAGGCAUUGUCCUUGGCUGAAGGAAGCUGCCUCACCCAAGGUUAUGCCGGCUUCCUGGGACGCAGCACACAUCCAAUGCCUGGGCAAUGUAGGAUAUGAAGCUUUGUCCCCCUUGCCUUGAUUCAGGACACAUCUAAAGGGCCACUCCACCUUCAGGGAUCCUCAUGGGGUACUGCAAGGCUGCAAGGCUGUUCUUGUAAUUACAGGUCUGCCUCCCUUCUCCUGUGUCUUGAAUUAGCAGUAAUUCCUUCAACAAAUUAAUUUAAAUAUUUUGGUACUAACUUGAUGUUAAGACACUUUGCUAGAUGCUAUGAAAAUCAAAAUUAUGGCUUGGUCUCUGCCUUCCAGGAAAUUUUUAACUUAUAGAAAUGAUAAAUGACUCCAAAAUAUACUACAAGACUGUGUUGCCUAAGUAGAAAGUGCGAAGGCUUUCAUUCAUCAAACCUGAAGUGACUACUAUACGCUUUGUGCAGCAGUUUAAAGAUUAGUAAGAUGUGGGCCCUACUAUUAGGGAUUUUAGGAAGAUCUAUUUUUGACAGGAGUUUCUUCAUGGAGGCUCAAUUUGUUUGUUUAUUUAAGUCCUCACUUCCAGAAAAAAUUUGAGUUGGAUCAUAAAAAGUAAUUAAGUAUUUCAUGGAGGGUUGAAGUAUGAUGGGGUGGGAGGAAAAUUCCAGGUUGAAGUAAUGACAUGAAGGCAGUAAACGGAAGACGAGUUUCUCAAAGUAGGGUCUUUCAAUGUGUAGCCAGAGAAGAAUAUUUAACAGCCAAAUGGAAUCCAAAGUGGAGAGAUGCCUGAAGACGAAGGUAAAGAAUUCUGGUUUUGUUCAGUAGAAAGAAUAAAGAUUUUUUUCUAGUUUAUCUCCUACGUUUAUUUAAAACUUCAUUCUCUUUAUCUCACAUCCUGCCAUUGUUUGUUGAUGGUGAUAUCACAAUUACUAUUUUAUGUAAUACAUCCUCAUUUUAUGACUUUCACUUGCAUUCCACUUCAUUUGUCUCCAUCCUUGGCCAUGUUUGUCAUCUCUGUUUAAGAAAUAAUAAACUGGUUUAAACCAGUUGUUUUGGGGCUGGUUUGUUAUACAACAGUAGACGACUGAUGCAUACUUUGGACUUUCACACAAUAGCCUCACUCAGGGAUGGUUUUGAGAGACGGCAGUCUUCCCCAUUGGAAGAGGUUUGGGUGGUGUGCAUAAUCAUCUAUUUUGUGUCUAAAAAGGAGUAGGUUGAGAUCAGAUUAUAUGUGGACUCAUUAGCAGUGACAAAUAGUUUGGCUUGUUCAUCAGGGGCUUGGAAGGAGAAAAGUUAGAAGAAUGAGACAAAGAAGUCUGGUGAAGGAGCAUGUGAAUUGGCAUGUAAACAGGGCCAUGAAGUAUGAAUCUCUGAUUCAUAUAGUGAUGCCUACCAGAGAGAAUUUACCAUUGAAGGGACACUAAACACUCUUAGAGAAUAACUUAGCCAGUUGACAAUAGCCAGUCUUUGUCAAAAGCCCCCGCAACCCUGAUGUUGUACAAAGGGUCUAUACAGGAGAAGCUGUGAACGUGGGAUGGAGGCUGUGUAUGAGCCCAACAACAUGGACUACCACUCACUAAGGCAGAUCUAGUACUGCUGCUGCCAAUCAUCUAACCUGCCAGCAGCAAGACUAAUGCUGACCCUGUAAAUGGCACCAUCCUUUGAGGCGAUCGACUAGCCAAAGUUGAUUAUAUUGUGUCCAUUCCACCUUGGAAGGCAGGAAUUAUUUUGAGUCUAGUUCUCUAUGUGAUUAACUUUCCUGCCCAUUGGGCUCCUAGGCAGCACCAUUAUCCAAGGGCAAAUAAAAUGUUUGAUCUACCAACAUGUGAUCCUACAUAAAUUGCAUUGGACCAAGCAAUGCACUUUACAGCAAAUGAGGUGUGACAAUAGGUACCUGACCAUGAGAUUCACUGGUCCUAUCAUGUAUCCUACCACCCUGCUUCUGCCAGCCUGACAGAGGGAUGGAAUGGCUUUUUGAAGGUGCAUCUAAGGUGUCAACUUGGAAAUUAUAUUAUGGGAGGAUACGGUGCAUAUCUUCAUCCUCCAGGAUGAAAAGCACACCCUAAAUCAUUAACCAUUAUAUAAUGCUGUGUUCCCCAGUAGGGAGAAUAUGUGCAUCUUGAAACUAAGUGUUGCAAGGAGAAGGGACUCUGCUUCUUAUCACUCCCAGUGAGCCAUUUGGGCAAUCUGUCCUUCCUAUCCCCACAACCUUAGGUUCCGUAGAUCUAAUGGUUGUGAUUUCCAGAGGGAGGAUGCUUCCACAGGAGCCCCAUUAAACUUUAUCUAUGACUGCCACGUGGUUACUUUAGGUUUUAUUGUCAGGGAUCCAGUAGGCCAAAAAAGGAUCCACAUCCUGGCAGGAGUAAUUGUCUCUGAUUUUCAGGAGAAGGUAGGGCUGCUGUUACAUAAUAGGAACAGGGAAAAAUACAUUUGGCACCCAAGUGAUCUGCUGGGGAAGGGGGGAAGAAAGGGGGCUCUUGGUGUUCCCCAGACCAAUUUUGAUGGUAAAUGGACAUGUUCAGAAGGCACAUCAUCCGAAGGGCGUAGCAACUAUGGGCUCAGACCUCCUCAGUGAUAGGGGCCUGGGUCGUCCUACCAGGUAAGUGAUGGAGGCCAGCUGAUGUGGUAGUCAAAGGUGAGCGGAAUCUAGAGAUGGGGUUAAUAGAUGAGGGAGACUAUAAAUAUGAGGUACAGUCUAAAGAAUAGCUGCAGGGGCAACAGGAGAGUGGAUGGGGAGAGGGAGAAGGGGGCAGAUGGCUGACACUGUAGCUCGUCCCACUAAACUCUUCUUAAAGCUUCCCUAGGAAAGGAGAUCAAUUACAAUCCUGGAGGAGUUGUUCCCUCGUGAAGGAAAUAUACUAUAUGAAGCAAGUGAAACUGUACAGGGGUGGAUUGUAGUGAAUGUAUUUGGACACCUCCUAGAUUCCCCUUCCUGGUCAAGGCUUUGUGUGCUCAAAUGCCAGUAGUGCUAGCUACUGAUGACUCACAGUUGCAUACAACUCUGGGAAUUGCCCUCAGCUGAAGGCAGCUGCCUUGUCCAAAUCUGUGCUCCUAUUCUUGGCUGCAGCCAUAUCCAAUGAUGGAUUGUUGUGAGGUAUGUUCCUUAAUGUGGGACAUCUUUGUAGGAUCGUCUCAGCCUUGAGAGAUCCUGUGGCAUUGGCUGAGGCUACUGUUUCAACUGUAUCUCAUUCCAACUUCUCCUUCUGCCCAGUCUUGCCUCCCUUGCUCCUUCACAGAUAUUGCUUUUAAGACAGCUUCCAAUAAAUCUCCUGCAUACAAAUCCUGGGGGAACUUUACCUGCAAUAGUGGGGUAUAUUUAUAAACCUAAACUGCUAGGAAGGGCGGAUCCUGAAGCCUCCUUUAUUCUGGUAACCUCCAUAAAGGAUUUUAUGUAUAUAAUGCUGAGUGUAGGAGAUCGUUAUAUUCCACAUAAAAUGAGAGAAUUCAGAGCUCGGAAGUGAUUUCAUGGGGAGGAAACAAAGACCACAUGAGGGAGUAAAAAACAAAAGUGAGGAAACCUGAUAAAUGUGGGAGGAGAAGACUUCAUUGAAACCAGUGAAGGGACUGAGUUUUGCAUCCACAUUGUCAAGGAGGAGAGGAGGUAGGCAUAUGUAGAUAUAGGAGUCACACACAGGAUCUAUGGCCUCCCCCUUGGGACUUCUACAGGUCAUUGAACUUGGAACUUUGAGGGGAAGAAAAAUCCAUGGUAGAUAUCUAGGUUACAAAAUACAUUUGGUGUAUCUAGUUGUAUUCUUUUAGAGUUGAAUUUUACUUUUUACACUAGUAUCUCUUCCUUCCUAAAUGAAUUCUUUUCAAUUAUUUGCAGUUUUCAUUAUGAUUUAUCAGCAUCUCUAUUAUAAACCUUGGGGUCAUCUUUGACAUUGCUUUCUCUCAAAGGCUAAAUCAAAAUACGUCUGGAAAUUUCAUUGGCUCUACCUUCAAAAUGUAUUCAGAAUUCAGAAAGUUCUUCAGGCAAAAGGAAUAUGAAACCAACAGUAAACUUGGAUCUACAUCAAGAAAUGAAGAGCGCUGGAAAUGGGAUAAAGUAAGGUAAUUUAAAAUUAAUUUUUUUUUAUUUUAAUUGCUUCAAAAGAUAACUUUCUACAGCAAAAUAGUAGUAAUGUAUUAUAUAUUUAUUGCAAAUGUAAAUGUAAAAUGUCUGACAAUAGCACAUAGGAGGGAGGAAUUGAGCAUGUACUAUUUUAAGGUCUUCCUAUUACAUAUCAAGUGAUAUACUGUUACUUUAAGGUGG
ensembl:lncRNA